rnacentral:tRNA from 1 species
UGGCUCAGAUGGUAAAGCAUCUGCCUGCAAUGCGGGAGACCCGGGUUCAAGUCCUGG